rnacentral:rRNA from 1 species
CCCGACUGCUAUUUGGGGGAGGAUAAGCCAUGCGAGUCAGAAUGGGAUACCUAAAUUUCCCAUGGGCAGACUGCUCAAUAACACAUGAUCAACUUACCCUAUGGAGAAAUAUAACCUCGGGAAACUGAGGAUAAUGCUUCAUAGUUGAAUAGGCUUGGAAAAGUUUUUCAAUGAAAGGGAUAAGAAAAAUGGUUCUUAUCUGCCAUAGGAUAGGAUCGUGCUCGAUUAUGGUUGUUGGUGAGGUAACGGCUCACCAAGCCGAUAAUCGAUAGGGGCCGUGAGAGCGGGAGCCCCAAGAUGGGUACUGAGACAGCGACCCAGGCCUUACGAGGCGCAGCAGGUACGAAACCUCCGCAAUACACGAAAGUGUGACGGGGUUACCCAAAGUGUUCUUAUAGAACUGUGGCUGGUGAGUAAUGUCCCCUGCUAGAAAGGAGAGGGCAAGGCUGGUGCCAGCCGCCGCGGUAAAACCAGCUCUUCAAGUGGUCGGGAUAAUUAUUGGGCUUAAAGUGUCCGUAGCCGGUUUAGUAAGUUCCUGGUAAAAUCAGGUAGCCUAACUAUCUGCAUGCUAGGAAUACUGCUAUACUAGAGGGCGGGAGAGGUCUGAGGUACUACAGGGGUAGGGGUGAAAUCUUAUAAUCCUUGUAGGACCACCAGUGGCGAAGGCGUCAGACUGGAACGUGCCUGACGGUGAGGGACGAAAGCCAGGGGAGCGAACCGGAUUAGAUACCCGGGUAGUCCUGGCCGUAAACGAUGCAUACUAGGUGAUGGCAUGGCCAUGAGCCAUGUCAGUGCCGUAGGGAAACCGUUAAGUGUGCCGCCUGGGAAGUACGGUCGCAAGGCUAAAACUUAAAGGAAUUGGCGGGGGAGCACCACCAAGGGGUGAAGCCUGUGGUU